rnacentral:rRNA from 1 species
UACGUAGGGGGCUAGCGUUGUCCGGAAUCAUUGGGCGUAAAGCGCGUGUAGGCGGUCCGGUAAGUCCGCUGUGAAAGUCGAGGGCUCAACCCUCGAAUGCCGGUGGAUACUGUCGGACUAGAGUACAGAAGGGGCAACUGGAAUUCUCGGUGUAGCGGUGAAAUGCGUAGAUAUCGAGAGGAACACCUGCGGCGAAGGCGGGUUGCUGGGCUGAUACUGACGUGAGGUGCGACAGCGUGGGGGAGCGAACGGG